UACUCCUUGCACCCCAGGGCAGCUGGACGCCAGCGAUUCCUGUUGGGUUCUUACUGCCUGAACAGCAAGACCUUCAUCAGCCCCGUCCAGACCCAGGACAGGUGUCAGCCAUGAAGAUCCUGUACCUGCUCUUCUCCAUCUUCCUCCUGUUGAUCCAGGGUGCUGCAGCAUUCCCCAUGGAAACAAGAUUAUCUGAAUGCAGCCGAAGAGGGGGAUACUGCACUUAUCAACCCUGCCCUCCUGGUGGAAGGCACUUUGGGAGAUGUCCAGCAUUUCAACACUGCUGCAGACGCUUCUGGGGUUGAGACCCUGAACUCUGCAAGCAGGACGUCCCCCUUGCUUCUGGCUCCUGGACCCAUCUCCUGAUGUCCUCUCCCCUCCCUGCCUCUGCCGUCCCCAGGCGCUGUGACAGCAGGAGUGGAAGCGCUGCUCCUGCUUGAUGCCCGGGUGCUCGUGGGCCAGAGCCAUCCCGUCACAGACCUGGUGCUGUUGGGGCAGAGGCUGCUUUUCCCGGCUUGAAUAAAGAUGAGCAGUUUGGCAUUGCA